rnacentral:lncRNA from 1 species
UUCACAGCGAAUAAAACGAUGAAACGGACGGAGGUAUAAUUGACCGGUGUUCAAAACUCAAACUAUACAUAUAUAUAUAUAAUUUUUUUGUUUUGAAAAUUACGGUCGUAUAAUUCAAAAGAUUUAAACCGUACAUUUUCAGAAAUAUUUUUAUUAUAAAUUAAUAUAUAUGUAUAUAAUUUAUACAUUUCUGUUUUACAUUAUUUUCCGUUGUUUUAUAGAAUAAUAUGGGAACACUAUUCGGCGUACACAAUCGGAUUCACAUCGCGACGGGAAUGUUGUUGUCCAGCUACUUGAUAAUGGCUCGAACGUCUUCUGUACGAAACGGUCAGUAAAAAAAAAAAAAAAAAAAAAAAUUAUUAUAUCUUAUCCAAUUGUUUACUGAAAUAAAAUUUAUUAAUCUGCUGUACAGAGACUCGAUGACUAUAGAUUCCGUUCAGUGUAGUAUUUUAUAGGUUAGACAAUAAUAUUGUUUACGAAAGAGGACAGCGAUAGACAGUUAACUUAGGGGGAAGGGCCUGUAGGAAGACGUCCUCGGCUCGGUGAAACAAAGUUUAAUUUUAGUACUAAAAACGCACGUGUAAAAUUAGUUUAAUUGAAUUUAAUUAUGAGAAUUUAAGUAAAAUCGAGAAUAGGAAUAUAGGAGGAAUAGGUAUAGUCACAGAUACAUACAAUAAACUAGAUAGCAAACUGCCACGUCAUAUUGACGGUUUUGAUUGAAGUUACAUGGCAAUCAUUUAAUUCAGGGCCAAUGGUCCUAUGGUAUAUUUUUAUACGGCGAUAACUGUUGAAUCCAUAUUUUUUAUCAUUCUUACCGCGUCGACCAAGACCGUAAUUGUUAACACAAUAGUUAUCACAAUGUGGAUCGUUCUCGAAUUAAAUGACGAAUUGAAACUUAUCACCGGUUAAAAAUCUAGUUUAUUGUAUAUUUUUGAGCCCAUAUUAUUGAUAAUAAUUAUUGCGAUCGUACUGAGUUUUGAGAAUGAACUAUACCGAACAGAAUAUAAAAUGUAAACCGAUGACUGUCCGUAGGUAUACGAAUUGAAACGAAAAAAAUAACUAUCAGCUUUUGCUACUAUAUUUUGUGGUUUUUAAACGCGAAUUCCGGGGCUGUUUGUGGAAAAAGAUCAUUAUUUGUAAGAAAUAAAUCAAUAAAACAACCGUCACAUUACAUCAGGCAUGGCGGUAAUCUCAAAUUCACUGUAAACUCGUGAAUGAAUUUAAGAAGUUUACACAAAUUUUAGCUACGAGCUAUAUAAAACGAUGCAAGCACUAAUAUUUGAAAUCGAAUCCCCGGUUAAACGCGGUCUUAAUAUAUGUAUACGUAUAAUAUAUAUUCAAAGACUCGAUUAAAAGAAUAUUUGACGUGAGUUGUAAGUUUUCCCCGGUAAGUCUGAUCAAAUCUUACUCGGUAUUUAUAAUAAUAAAAGAUUAUCGAGGAAAAAAAUGAAACCGCUAAAAAGUUAUUAAUAUAGGUACGCAAUUACAAAGUUAUCGACAGCAACAAACAUUAUACGGUAUGACGUUAAAUAUAUAAUACGAAAAUCGAAGGUUUUUUUUUUUAAAUUCGAGUCGACUAUUAAAAAUAUAGUUAUAAUAAGUAAUGAAAUAUCCGUUCAUGGUGGUGGAAAUACCGUCUAUUCCGAUCACAUCAGAUUUGCGGUAAAAACAUACUAUCGUAAUUAUAUAACACUGCAAUACAAUUUUAAAUCGAUAUCUAACACUGCAAUACGCCCAUCUUGACAAACUGUAUGUAUAAAUAUAAUAUAGUAAGUCGUUAUAAAAAUACUAUGGACAGGUACUCGGCGUAUUAAAAAAUAUAGGUAUACUUUGAUGAAAAAUGGCGGUAAUAAAUAUUGUAUCACGUACAAAAUUAGUUUUCCGAUCAUUUUACAAAUCACAAACCAAAAAAAAAAAAAAAAUAUAAUAAUGAUGAUAAUUAUAGGUGGACACAAAAUAAUAACAAUCUAAUAUUUACUGGUAUAUUAUAUAUUGUCAUAUAAAUAGUAUAAUAUCUUUAUACUCUAUUUGUGUCUGUCUACUCGUAUGCCGAAGAACAAUGUAUUUUUUUCCCCAAUUUUUUAUAUUUAAUCUCAUUAAAAGCUGUAUAAUUUUUUAUUCGCGAUUUACCGUAGUUUCAUAAUCGGAAAUGAAAUAUCGGGAACUUCCCCCUCCCUUUUGAACAAAUAUUUAAAAAGAAAAUAUUUUUUUCAAAAGGGGGGCCCCCUUUUUCCUCUAUUUCCUAUUUGAGAAUCAAAAUUAUAUACUUAUUUAAAGUACACGGAGUAGGAGAAAACUUAAAAAUGGCUUUAAAAUUCCAUAAUGAUCAGAAAUAUCAGAAAUCAAAUUCACUUAAAAUCCCCUGAGAUAAUUCCUAGUUAAUGAUAAAAAAAUCACUCUGUAUACUACAUUAUUUAAAUUAUACAAAUCUUUCGAGCGCCACAUCGUUCUCUGAACAUACACACGGCUUUUCCACCAACCACCCGAAUCCGGGAAUUUAGACCGUUCAAAUUCAGCGGAAAUAGUGUUGGAAGUCAGGUACCAAGUAAAUUAGUAGUAGAACAAUCGCCUGGCAAGCGAUAGUCUCGGGUUCGAUUUAGCACUGUUUUCCGGACGAGAACGGCCGCGUCAAAUGGCUUUCCGGCAGCAAAUCGAACCCCGAUUAUAACUGCGUACACUUAUCCUCAUAUUACUGAGUGUAUAUUACAAAUAUAGUUUUAACAUAUAUGAAAAGUGAAUUUUUAUUUUUUAUUUUUUUUUAACUCCCGUACCUAGUUUCUUGAAGUGCUUCUGUAAGCAAAUAUUAAACAAAUUACCCAAAAUAACCAACCAAAAUAUUUCAAAUACAUGAACAUAUUUCUAGUACUAAACAAUUAAUAGUAUAGAAACGUUUUUUACCGCACCACCGGGUAUAAACUCUAAAUAUACUUUAAAUAAUAUACAGUUUUUAAAUAAUAAACACUAGAAAAUUAAUUUUAAUUUUCUAAAGUAAUUUUUAUAGACAAAAUUUGCAACAAUGAAAAAAAAAAAAAAAUCAAAACUAUACUCUUUUUUUGUUUAGACCAAUUCAACGGAUUUUGUUUAUUUACAAUUGUCUUAGAUUUUCGAUAACGUUUGUAUACUACCGAAAUUAUGUUAGGGACUGAGAGAUGGGGUCUCGGAAUCGGUCUUUUACUAGAGUUAAUUACGUGGGUGGUUUUUACUAAAUUUGUACAAGUAGUAUCAGUCAAUUUAUUAAAACAGUAAAAUAUAUCGCGUUUUAUUAAGUGGAAACCCACCCUGUCCCCCCGAUGAGGAUAAACGAGUCAAUAAUCUUAAAAUCCGUAUUAAAAUAUCAAUCGGGGGGAAAAAAAAAAACUCGUUCGCGUUAAAUGCCUCGAUUUUUUUCGGCCGUAGCCGUGAUGUUAUUCAUUAUUGCGGUGUAUACCGUACUUAUGGACCAACACGAACCAGGAUAACACGAAUAAUAAUAAAAUAAGCGGGAAAAAAACAAUUUUAAUGCGUGGUGUAUAACAAAGUGUUUGUUCGCGCUGUGCCGUCGGUCGUUAUACCACUACGUUUUCUUUGUUCGCUGCAGUGUUAUUAUUAGUUCUCGGUCAACAACAACAGUGGCCCUAAAUAAUAUCGUCUGGCUUGGGUUUGUCUUCCGACUAAAAUACAAGGGAAGCACACCAGCUAUACAUUUACGGUGCCUCGAAUUUAUAUAACAACGCGAAAAUAGCGCGUUUCACAUUAAGUAUACAGCGGUGUGUCCGAAUUACAUAAAAUUGCCGUCGUUGGUUUUUGAAUAUAAAUUGCAGUCUUGUCUGAGCACAAUAUAUUUACACCGCGAAUUUCUCGGAGUAUUAUACUAUUAUACAUUUAUAUACCUACUAUCUGUAUCAGAAGGUUUUAAAUCCAAUAGUUUCUACACGUAUAGGUGUGGUUCAUUAGAUCGUGCGUUUUACAACAGAUUUUUAGAAACACAAACGGUGUCGGGCGAGAACAAAACACUGUUGAUUAUCCGCGGUCCGGCCGCAUAUAUAUUAUUUAUAAUACAAUAUGCGAAUUGAGAUUCAUGCUGGCCUACGGGCGCCGCUGAGAAUCCAAUAGUUUGGGCAACACGUGACGAGGAAACCGGAACGAGAGUGCCCAAAGGUGACCGUCGAGUGAAACAAUAGUGUUGUAUUAACUGCAAGUAGUGAAAUAUCGGAAUUAAGACGAGAAAUAAUUGCUAGAGUUGUUGUGUAAUAUUUACGAUAUGGUAUAUUAGUUAAUAUUCUUGUUACCUAUAAUUAGCUUUACUAAUGGUGACUCAUUUUAAUAAUACCAUCUUGUUUACAUAAUAUUAUUUGCGUUCGCUAUCCAUUAUGCGUGAUUUUUUUUUUUGUAUUUUUUUUAUUGUCCCGUAAUCGACCCUACGCGGGAUUUCGUUACGCUGCAAGCCAAGGGGACGGACGUCCUCGAUUUGCGAUGCGUACGACGACCGAGUGCCAAAACACGCGAAUCCACUUAAGUUGAAAUUGAAAUUCCGUAAAUUUUGAAAAUUCGCAAACAACGAGAACGGCAAAGCGCUAAGACGAUUUUAUGAUUAUUAUUGUUAUUUUUUUUUUUGUCAUCGAUUUUCGUAAUUCGGAGUAUAUAUUAUAACUAGUAAGUGACUUCGCGUGUUUACACCGCUUCUCGAUUGGCGUUAUUACUGAAUAUUAAAUAAACAUUUCUCUCGUCCACUUGCCGCAGUGAAACGAAAAAAAACAGAACAGAAUAUUAUAUGUAAAACGGAUUAAUACUACUACAGAGUGAACUAAGAUCAUGUUUAAGAAAAAACCGUCGGAGGGUGGAUGGAUUCAGUUUUUUUUUAAGUAAUAAUCAUUAUUAAGUGAUGGAAUUUUCACAAAUAUUACCAUUUGUUUUACUUUUGAACGGUUCUCGAUAAGAAGAGCCUUGAGGUAAAUAAUGUUUAUUGAUAUUACUUAACAAGCGGUCACAGUCGAGUCAUAUAUUAUUAUUAUCUAGUCAAGACGAUAACUAUAUCCGAAAUAUCCGAAUAAAAUUCGCGAACAAAUAAUUUCGAAAACUAUGCGUAUUGUUUCUAAAAAAAAAAAAAGAACACGCUCUACUGUUUUUCUAAAUACUCGUAUUAUAUCGUAAAUAUAUUUUACGGAAAUCUUUUCAAAAGAUUUUUUUUCUUUUUAAUAAAACUGAUCUCCUUAAAAUAAUACCACGCGAUACUAAAAGCUAUAUAAAAAAAAAAAAAACUAAAACUGAAAAUAUAUACGGCUGCUGUUGUAGGUUGAUAGCGGGGAAGGUGGGAUACAUAAAGUUAUUUAAUUUAUACUUGUAACCAACGAUAAACCAUAGCUAACGAAAAACGAUUCGGAGCUAAGUUUGGUUAUACACGUUAUGGAAUGCUUUAAUAUUUAUGAUUUUCGUUAAAAUUUGAUUUAAAAACUCUAAAAGAAGGAAUUUCUUGAAUAAACCCAUAUAAAUAUUUGUGUUUUUCAUAAAUUAUAUGAUAAUAUAACAAAUCCUAUUUUAAAUUAAACACAAAUCGUUUCUACAGGAUGAACAAUAUAACAUAAGACACUCAUUUUCUCGGAAAGUCUGAUUUUUUUUUUUGAAAUAAACUUUUUGAACCAUUUAAGAAACUAGUAACUCGAAAAGGUUACUUUUCUCUUUUUUUUGUCACCCUAAUUUUGGGGAGUGAAAUCGAUUUUGACUACUUUUGAUUUUCAUAUAGAAACCUGUAUUAAAAGUUUAAUUAACAGAUAGGAGCAUUAGUUUAAAUCAAUUUCGGUGAUAACAUUUUUAAUUUACAUUUCGACCAUCUAAAGAGAUAUUUGACAUUUUAGUUUUUUUGGGGAGGGAGGGUGAGGGGAGAAGAGUGAUGUUUCAUUUGUGUGGUGUCACAGCAUUUUAAUAGUGUUAAUAGUUGAUGGAAAUUAAAAACUUCAACUCCGAAAUUGGUUUAAACUAAUACUCCCUCUAUUUAUCAUUUUUUUUAUUUUAGAUUGUCGUUUGAAAAUCAAUUGUAGGUAAUGGUUACAAUCUAAAAAAUACCGAGGACAAUAAAAAAAAAGUAACGUAUUUUAUUAGAGCUAAUAUUUUUUUUAAUUUUCUGGGAAUCGAAUUUUGAAAGAAGUUAAUACUUUUUGAGACAAUGAGUGUCCUACAUUAUCUUGAUCACCCUGCGUAUACUAUCAAUAAAUGUAUAGCAUUUGAAAAAAUAUUUUACGGUUUUAAUAUUGUUUCAUUAAUACGGUUUGUCCUAUUAUAGAUAUGGCCGCUGACUUUAUACCUAUAGGUCUUAUGACACUCUUUCGUAUAAUAGCACCGAAUUGAUCAUAAUAAUUAGAAAAAAAUUGAUAAUGCUCACGGGUAGAUCAGUAUUGUUGGGAAGAUAAAAUAUAGGUAAAGAGUAAUUGUAUUUGGCUUAUAAUUUAUUGUCCACUGUAUAUACGACGAUAUAUCUUUUCAAACGAAAAACCGAUCGUGAGCGGUGUAAUAUUUUUGGCGUUAAAUUUCCCUAUUGCCAAAGUAAUCCAGAAGUCAACAAAAAGCAAGCAAUAACAACAAAAACAACAGAAGAACCCAGGGUUCGAACCAAAGAAAACGUCAGAAAAUAACGUAGGUAUCAGUGAACUGAAACUUAUUCGAAAAGUUAUUCAAAUAAAGUAUUAUCAAAAGAAAAAUCCGCAUAGUUAACGGUAUAACGUGGACAAAUCGGAAUAUUUUUACUGACCGUAAAAAUGUAUUCCAAAGGAAAAAUAGAUACAUAUUUGUGAAACUAUUAUAGCUUCUUCGUUGUAUUCAGAAUUUAAUAACGGACAAAUAUCGAUUUUUAUAAAAGCCAUAAAAUAUCAUCGAUCCUAUUAGUAAUAUUAUUAUCAAUCUAUAAUACGUUUUGUAUGUGAUUUCAUUAUAAGAUUAACAAUAAUCCUGCGUACGCUUUCGAGCGAAAAUUAUAUGUAUAUAAACAGCGCGUAAUACUUAUUUUUGUGAUAACGAAAUUAUUGUUACCGAGAAAAAGAGAAAAAAAAAAAAGUAAUCCGAAAACUUUUAUUUUGGCACGUUACUAACUAAAAAUUAAAACCGAUAAGCUUGCGCGAAGAAAACGGCAAAAGCCGUUAUAAAGUUUCGUCGCAAUACUUAAAAUAAAUUAUUAUUAUCACCGGCGCUGUAUUUCAAGUGGGGAAUAACGCGCGAGUUUCAUUUUAACGGUUUACGGGUAUAUUUGGUUAUUGGAUUGUCAAAAGAGAUUUACUUCUUCGGGUAUUAUUAAUAUUCCCCCCUCACAUCACCCCCACCCCCCGCCAAUAAUUUAUUUACUAUUAUUCAAAAUAAAGUUUUUAAUAUCGACAAUAUUGCCGUAUUGGAUAUAUUAUGCCGGUACCUAGUUUCGCUAUCGGAGAAUAUUGUAACAUGCGUAUCAAGUACAAGCACGGCGGACGAGAUCAAAUUAUUCGCGACGUUAUAGCGGACAUUAUAGUUAUAGAUCAAGCAGAUGCAUUAUAAUUGUUUUCUUUCAACGGUUUACUUAAUAAACCAGUAAACGGACAGUUUCCGAGAAGAUUUCAAAGAUAAAUAAAAAAAAAAAAUUGCCGAUUGUAGACCCGAACUGAACGUCGUUCUUUUGUACGGUUGGAUAGACAAAUAAUAAUAUUUAAAUUUUUUUUUAUAUAAUGAUACUAUUAUUGCCAUUUUUCCAAAUAUAUUUGAUCGCCGCUGUUGAAGAAUUAAAAAUAAAAAUUAAAAAAAAAAAAAAAAAAAAAAAAAAAAAAAAAUGUUGCUUCGUAGCGGGGGGAAUACGCGAUAUUAUUUUCUUACAUAAAAGUAAUUUAAUGAAAAACACGGCGUUUCGCGUCGGAUUAAUUUUUAAAAGCAUUAACCAAAUUUUAAAAUGAUUAAAAAACGAACAUUUGUAAUUCAAAGAUACCCUAUACAUCUCCAUUGUUUCGUGACCUUAAUACGUAAUUCAUUUACACGUAGAGAGCAAAUUAUUUAUGAAUCCGUUUCAAUUAGUUAUCGUUUAGAAUUAUUUAUACGACAAGGUAUUAUAAAUUUACUAUUAUUUCGCGUGUUAAGAAGUAUUUUUAUUUCAUUAACUGUCUCAAUCUUUAUUUUAAACGCCCAAUACAUUCUGUAUAGCUUAUUACAACGCACGAAAAUGAGUGUAGUGAUAAUAUUAGGUGAGUAAUAUAAAUGUGUGUACACGAUGAAUAUAUAGGUGCCGUAGUCCCCAUUGACAAUAUUGAUCCAGGGUUCAGGCCCCGAAGGUUUUACUGAUAAAAAAUACCUUUUACGCUAACGGUAAUAUACGAUACUUAUUCUCAACACUAAAAUACUAAAGUUCCCCGAAAUAAAUUCAAAAUGUCGAUAAAAAUAUUAUUGUAAUUUGAUAAAAUUGAGUAUAGGUUAUCGAGGUUUCACGUGGUUUUUAGCAUAUGCCGGUGAUAUAUAGUGUAUGUCGGUGAUAAAUGAUAACAUAUGAAUAUUAUGUUAAAUUUUACAUGUGUUAUAAACAAAUUAAAUUGUUAUCGAUUAACAAAAAAUCGAUUCAAAGUAAAUAGUUUUUUCUUAUUGUGUUUUUCCAAAAAUCUUAAAAAUUAAAAAAAGCUCAACAAUUUAAAAAAAUAAUAAGAUAUCCCCGGAAGAAAUUUUAAAAACAUUGUGUCUAUGACAAUGACUCUGUUUGAACUCAUACCUCUAAUACGGUAGCCCCGAUCACGCGUACUUACAGAUCCUGACCCAGUUCGGUUUAAGUGGUGUGUAAAUACGCAACCCACCGUGGUUUUUAAUCGACUAGGGCUAAGAUUUUAAGUUCACACUUAGGGCUAGGGGUAACAGAGAAAUACACCGGUUUUUGUCUGAUUCCGGAAAAAAAAUAAAAAUAAUUAUAAUAAUAAUUCAAACUUAAAAUGUAGGUAAAUUUAGCCUGCCUAUUUCUAUACAUUCAUUUAGGAAAUACCACAAAACAGUAUUUUAUUUAUUGAAAAUCAGAUAAACCAGUUAAAUAAAAGUAAAAUUACAAAAUUAGAAUUUGUCAAGAGUUUAUCAAAAAAAAAAACAUAAACCUAAUUUUCAAAUGUUAUUUUGUAUAGAUUUAUGUUAAUAUUUGUAUUAUUUAUUUCGCUAUAUUAUUAUUGAUUGUAUUAACUUUCUUUUCGAUUAUACGCAUAUUGCAUACUUUGUUAUAUUAUUGACCUUAGAUUCCAUUUAACAUACAUAUAUUUUUUUACUAUAUUACUAAUUGCAUUCAGAAAAUAAAUUGUUAUUUAUUCUUAAUUUGAUAGGUGUUUUUUAACCUUUGGUUGGAAUACACGAAUUGCAUCUCAUUUAUCCCGUCUUUAUGGGACGUUACUCGUACGCUUCCAAGUAGUCUUCCGUUUCUCCAAGCCGAUACGGAUACCAGUACUUCUUUUUUGUCUUGUGCAAAUAAUUAAUAAAAAAAAACAAAUAAAUUAAAUUACAAGUUCAUUAAUUUUGUAGAUCCUGUUAGAUCUAUAAAUUCUGUUCGUAUAAACAAAAAAGAAGAAUUAAUCUUACAAUUAAUCAGAAAAAUCAGUUUAUGGCUUCUACAAGAAGUUUGAUUUCUUAACUAUUAGCUAAAUAAGUCUAAAAUCUCUUUCUAUUUUUUUUUCUCUUUUCUGACUGUAUGUUAUGUUAUUUUUAAAUGUAGCUCUCUAUUUCCAACACAAGAUUUCCUUAUAGGAAGUAAAUACGACAAUUACUGUACUGUCGAAUUACAGACAACGGUUUAUUAAAAAAACAAAACUCAUAUUUAUUAAGGUAAAAAAAUAAUUAAAAUCAUACAUGAAACCAUGCAAAAAAAAAAAAAAAUUAAACGAAACUGAUCGAUAGUUUAUCAGUUCCUUCAGUUCCUUAAUAACCGAUUGAAUCAGUGAACACAGAACCGGAACAAAUUCAUUUCCAUUUAGGACAUAUAGGGGCAGUGAAUUAUUAUCUAGAAGUUUGGACAAACAGGUAGAUUUAGUUUUUUCAUUUCUAAUCUCCAUUAUCUAAAUCCGAGUUCAUGACUUGUCAUCGAUUAACUAGUAGGAUUUAGGUUUACACGUAUGACGCCAACUUGGAUAGUCUAUUUUUUUUUUCAAAUCCGCAGAGGGGAUGUUAAUAUGCUCCAUAGCUCAAGUCGUUUAAUCUGAAUAGUUUUAUAUUUUACAAGUUGACGAAAAUAUAAUUAGCGGAAAUAUGGCCUUAUUUGGACUUUGAUCCAGAGUUGAAUAUAUCACGGAUAUAUAUAUAUAAAUAUAUAUUGGCACUCCUAAGAAGAUUGAAAGCCGGCGAAAAUUAUACAAUUUUCCGACGGUCCUUGCAGUCCGGAAUUGAACGGGUCGAGCUGUUAAAAAGCUGGUCGCACGAGUUUUGAUAUUCAAUCGUUGUUUUCAAAAAAAUUGUAUUUCAUGUGUCUAUUCUACGUCCGUGUAACCCCAGUGUUGAGAACCACUGGUUAAAAUGACACGUUAACGGCAUGCGUGUUAUUAUAUUUUUAACCGGAACACGAAAAUAAUUACACGAAAAUUCAAAAAUCGUAUUUUAUAGUACCGCAGGAAUAUUAAAACAACGCGUAUAAUAUUCGGAGCAGCCGACAAAACCGAUAAAAACGCAAUUUGACACUGUGCACAAUUUACGCUGUGAAAAAGUAACUAGUCGACGCGAUAAUGUACGCGAUAUAUGCGGACCGAUCCCAAUCGUUAUUUUCGUGUUCGCGGUCGGUUCGACGAUAUUUAUGGGUCAGUAAACACCAGCAAGUAUUCUCGUAUUCAACUCUGUUCAACGAUCGUCCCUACAUAUAAUAAUAUUGUAUGAAAAAAAAAAAAACAUAUAUGGACCGCGAGGAUGCGAGUUUAUUAUGUUUUUCGCGUUAUUCACGAGUAUUUAUUCGUAUACGAUUUUUUCACAAUACGUUCCUGUUUUUGUGCCCGGAUAUGAGUCUUUAAUAUGCAUACGUUUUACUAUAAUAUUAUAGUCAUUGGUGAGGUUAAACCGAACAAAUACGCUUAAAAUUGUUAACAAUACGGGAGAGGGGGAUGAGCUUUAUAUUUUAUUGGUAGAAAUUGUAUUAUUCUUCCUCGUCCGAUAUGUAUUGUGCGUUAUAACGGUCCGUACGAACAAACGGGAGCGAUUUUAUGUCUGGCGGGAAAAUUACCACUUUAGUGAACGUUCGCAAAACAAAAAAAAAUUAUAUCUUAUAGCCGUACGAAAUCCUAAAGUACGCAAAACACAUUUUUUACGAAACGCAUGUUAUUACAUAGAAAAAAGCUACACAGAGACAAGAAAAUUUGAUAUUAUUUAUAUGUUUAAUGCGCGCGAUUCAAAAAUAAAGUUUUAAAAAGAAAUUUACGUAAAUUCGAUAAAUGUAUCCAUAUCACAACAGUUAGAGCAGAUGUUAUGUGUAUACUUGUAUGCGUAUGAUUUUACAUAUUUUUGCGUGGUUGAUCAGAAAACAACUACAGUUUUUAUCCAAACGUGUUUCAUCACCAAUCAAUACAAUAUGUAACAUUUUAUUUUAUUUUCUUCCCGGGUUUCGCAAUUUGUAGAGGACAUUUUUAAUUCACUAAUGUUUUCUUUUUUUUAUUAAUCAAUAUAGCGAGAGUUACCAUACGAUAUUAAACAAGUUUAAUAAAUAUGAGAAGGUAAGACGAUAACAUCAGUAUAUGAUAUAAAGUUGUAGAUAAAAAUUUAUUUGUUUCGCUUAAAUGCAUUGUAAUUGGUAUUAAAAUGUAUCGUCAACAAUAAAUUUUUUUUUUAUUGUUUUUAAGUUUUUCAAGCUAUAAAAAAUACGGAACAUUUUUGUUCUCGGGCUGAAAAAAUAUUAAUUGUACAAUAAAAUAAAAUAUUAUAAUUUUAAUUUUUUUUUUUUCUUGUGAAGGUAUAUUUUAUUAGAACAUAUUACGGUGUUUUUUAAGUGCUGAAUAAAUGUAGCAAGCAUAUUUCGAAUGUCUAAUAUCAGGUGGCAUAAUAUUAUACAAAACCGAUAACUGGCUAUCUCGGUGUCGUAUAAUUAAAAUUAAAUUAUUUUUAUCAAAAACAUCGUUAUUGCAUUGAUAACUUGUUGAGCUUUUUUCAGUUUUUAUAAAAUCAUUUACCCAAUAAUAAUUUUGUUAUAGCGAAUAAUCGUAAUAUUUUCUUAGUACUGUGACAUAAAUUAGUGCUGUUACUGUAAGAGUACUUUUUGUUAUAUUGUUUUUCAAAAAUUUACUAUAAUAUAUCACCAGUAUCAUCAGUCGCGUCUUCAUUAGAUUAGUUGGGUGAAAAUAUGAUAUUUAAUUAUAAACUAUACCUAAUAAUACCUACUGAGGCCGAGGCGAUUUAGGAGUCAAUUAAAUCCCCUCAAUGUUUACGAUUAUUUAACACGUUUGCUGCGUAUUACGCCAAUUUCGGCGUCAAAUACAUCGUUUGCAUAUACUGAAUGACGCCAAUCGGCGUUAUGUACCUACCUUGUUAUUUAUUGCACUAAAAUUUGGUCAACGUUAUGAUUAAACUUUUCAUACUUUGUUAGCGUUAUCUAUUAGCACUAUUUCAUAAACACAUGAAAGUCGCGCAUUGAUAUUUUAAAUAUUACAUUUUCAAGAAUUUUUUUUAAAAACCUCGAUUUUUUCAACGUCACAACAAGCAUACUGAAAUAUAAUACACUGCGAACGUGUUAAGUAUAAAUACUUUUGUAUGGUAAAACCAAGCAAAAUCGAUUGGAACUUUUCAGCCUCCUUGAUAUUUUUUCCCCUUUUGGUUUCAUUAUGCGUUUUCAAACAACUUUAAUCAAACGUCUGACUACGGUGUGACAACUAAACUAAUUUUCUAUUUAUAGGGAAAUGAAAUUGAAUCAUCACGUUAAAUAUUUGAUGCGAAUAAAAUAUGUAUAUAUACUGAUAACCAAAAUAUUGGUUAUAAUGAUCCGUAUUUAUCAUUAUAGCAGGAGCACACUGUCGGGCACAUAUUAAAAUAAUGCCCACUAACGACAUGCACAGGAGGUAUUUGGGAAAUCCACACCCGGCCGGCGCAGAUGCCAUCGAAUGGAUGGAAAACUUAGGUGUGCGACUAUGACCCGAUUCGUAUCAAAUCGAAGAAGAACUACAAGUUACCGAACUUAUUUUUCCUCUUAUUUUUAGUGUUUGUCUUGGUCUUGGUUUCGUACAAGUUUUAUUUCGUCCUAGUCCUAGUGCAUUCGUAUUACCGACAUUGUUUCAAUCAACCUUUUAAAAAAUACUUUUAUUCCGCUUUUCGUUUUGCUGGAGCCGUACGCCAAUGAUACCGUAAAUAACUAAUGCACGGAUAGGAAACGAUGACAAUUCACCGUUGUGCCAAAGCGGACGGUUCGUUAAUCGUAAUUUUACGGGACCGCGCCGAUCGAAACGACGGAAUUCACGGACGGGUGUUACGCGACCCGGCAUAAGACAUGUUCGGGGCAUAGCGUUAUAAUUGACCGCGUAUUUCUGACGUAACGAUAUAAUAAUUAUUACUAGGCGUGUCGCACAAUCAACAAUGCGUUUGAGCGCGGGUGUAAUUUAAUCUCCCGCGGGAGUUAUUGCGUUGUUCGGUACUCCAGGUGUGCCGCAGCAAUCCGCUUUCGGAGGUGGGGGACGAUUUCGCGCGACCAAUCGGCAUCGCCGCGUAUAUUUAUAGCACGGCCGCAAUUAUUAUCCCCGAGGAAACGAUUCCGGACACGUUCAAACCUCAUUCUAUCGCGAGUCAUGUGCGGGGCCGCGCGGCGGAUUCCCGUCCGACUGCGCCACGUAAUGGUUAAGUGCACCGUCGGCGAGUGGGUAGCGGGUGGCCGGUGGGCGCCUAUAAUAACAACGCGGACACGGAGAUCCGAAUCGCGACUCGAACUAACCUAGUCAUCGUAGCUCUCCGCCGGGGCGGUUUUCGUUCGACGCGGUGUAUUAUUCAUGAAAAUUCUCCCGAGGACGACGACGGCGAUGACGCCGACGUGUUUAUGUGUACGCGCGCGUGUGUGUGUGUGUGUGUGUGUGUGGGUUUAUCGGCACGAGGCGAUGAAGAACGUUAUUAAUCUUAUUUCGGCCGUUUACUCUCUGUCGUCAUCGGAUCGUUAAAAACUGUUCGCGUAUAGCCGGUAUUGUAUAGGUAUAUUAGACCAUCAGCAUCCCGACUGAGGCGACUCGAAUACAGUUUUGGAGGUUUACUGAACCAUAAAAACGGAGAAGAGGGUUAGGAGGGUUGGCGCUGGGCCGGAUUACGACCGUAGUUUAAGGCGGGUUAUAUACCCAUGUCGAAGCCUUUUUACCCAAAAACGAUUUUUUUUUUUUAAAUUUAUGAAUUUUUAUUCAGUGUAAAUUUUAUUUUAGUAUUGACUGCUGUCGACGUAUCAUAUAAGUAUAAUAUUAUUAAAUUAUAUCGAUACGGGUUACUCGUACAUUUACUUACAUAAAAAAAGAAGUUCAAGGAAUCGGUCGAGUUUCUUCUUUGCAGACGUUUGCUUAGAAUCAGUUUUCAAAAGCGAUUGUGUUGAAAAAAAAAAUAAUUAUACCUAACCAAAUGCCAAUAAAGUAACGCUUCUACAACCCCAGCGUGAUAUUAAAUUCAACACCUUUCCAGAAAGGUUUAUAACAAUCAUCUAUAAAUUUACUUAAAGUUGUAUAAGAGUUAAACGUAAAAUAAAAAAAAAUAUUGGCGUUAUUAAGUUAUGCGGUUUUUACUGUUUUUAAAGUAAAUACCAAUAACCAUAGUAUAAAAGAACUGAUAACGAUAUAGAUAUGAGAAGACAAAGAAAAUCGUGUUAUUAUAUCUUUCCCUUUUAGAGAAUAAACCUAAAGAAAAAGUUGCUAUAUUACAUUAUUUUCGUCUGACACGUUAGGUAUGGCAAACAUAUUGCAACAUCGAUGAGUAAAAAAAACAAAAAAAAAAAAACAAAAACAAAAAAAAAACCUAUUUUAUACGUAUUUCGUCUUCUUACUGAAAAGUUUUGUCAAGACACCAUUAUAAUGAUAUAGAUUAAAAAAAAAAAAAUUGACCAACUGAAAAAAACCAUGUUUAAUCGCUUUAUUUCAUUCUUAAUUAAAUACAAUAAAAUAAAUCAAAGUGAUAAAAUUCUUGAUUUUUCUCAAAAUUGAAUAAAAUCUAAAUUUUAAAUUUAAAAAUGAACGUAUUUUAAAACAUGAAAACAAAGAUUUUUUAUCAAAAUUUAGAUUUAAAGUCUUAUAAAAUAAUAACAUCUACAUAACGUUAAUAAUUUUAUAUAACUUAAAAGUAAUAAUAAAUCUCGUGUUAUAUUUUCAAACAUUUUGGGCGAACAAUGUUAAUCUCCAAAAUCGAAAAAAAAAUGCGCAAUUUAAUCUACAUAAAACUAAAUUCAAACUAAAAAAACUUGAACAUUUUAAAUUCUUAUAAAUAGAUUAAAAAUCGUCAAGAUGCAAAAAAAAUGUAUAAGUGCGUGCGCGGGUAUGAUGUCUAGGACAAUUUUUAACAAAAUUAUAAAAAAAAUAAAAAAAAAUAAGCGGAACCUUUUUACGCCAUAAACUUCAUGUUUCCCAAGUUUUUUCUAGAUUUUCUCGAUAAUUAAGGAAUUUUUGAUAAAAAUUAACAAAUUACAAAUUAGAUAUGUUUUACUGAAAACGCUUCCCUUGAAAUCCAUAGUAAUAUUUUAGUAGAAAAUUUGUUGAACAACGGAAACAAAAUAGAAGUAGGUAUUCAUACUAUAUAAUGUAUUCAUUGAUACAGUCUAUACUGCACUCAGAAUUUAAAUUUAAAACGUGUCAAUAUUUUAAUAUCGUUGACUAUUUAUCACGAUUUCAAAAUUUUCCAAUUUUGAUAAAAUAUUAUACAUUGCACACAAUCAAUAACUUAUAAAUUAAAUGGAAAACAUUUAUGCAUUUGCACGUGUUAUUUUUUACUUUGGAUCUGCAUUUUUAAUAUUAGACAUAUCUAUAUGGAUUAUUUCCUAAUAAAUUCCACAGUAUUAUCAUUGAACGAAUUUUAUUUUACAUAUUUUAUUAUAAAAUGUAUUCUGUUGUUAAAGUUUGUAAUUUGCAUAAUUUUACAGUAAAAUGCCUACAUUAUUGGUGAAAUUAUUUCAUCCGUUUAAUUCCGAAAAAGAUGACAACUUAAUGAAAAAGAUUGAUACGAUGACGUAAAUUUUUUAAAAAGCCCCGGGUAUAUUUUACACUAUCCAUUUGUGUAACUGCAAUUGUAGGUGUGUAAUUGGGAAUUUAGGAUACAUCAGAUACUUGUAGGAGAUUAUUCAGUUUAUAUACAAGGAUACUGUAAGUUAUUGCGAACAAAAAACACUUCUGAAUGCAGCAAUACUAGUCGUGUUUUUAUCCUUAUCACCAUAAUAUUAAGUAAACAUAGGAAAAAACAAAGACUAAAAACCAAAAAGACGGACAAUGGACAACCUUUGCGCUAUGGACUGGCGGGCGGGCCACCGUUGUAGGUGAAAAGUUGAACAGGAAGAAUAUAGACGGGAAUUUAAUGUGUAUAUAUAUACAAAGAGUAAUCAUAGCCAACGAUAAACGAUACAGAUACAGACGGAAGUUCAGUUACACGUGUUUUAAUUCAACUUUUGAAAGGCCGUAAUAUUUUAGAUUUUCGUCAAAAUUUAAACAUUUUAUAAAAAAAAAAAAAAAAAAUACAACAUUUCACUCAACUUUGUCAUGUUGACUACUAAGUACGACUUAUACUGAACCUCCUGUUAAUUUUUCAAGUAUUUUUGUUUAGUCUUACAAUUUUAUUUACAGAGUAUCUAUUGAAUUAUAAUUACGUAAAAAACUUGUAAAAUUUAAAUGUCUAUAAAUAAUAAAAAACGGCUUAAAUUUUUUUGAAAAUUGUCAAAUGUCAAGUUUCUACCGACAUUUAUAACUAAAUUACAAUAAAAAAAAAAAAUUAAAAAAAAUAAAUGCAUUAUUUUCAGAAAUUUUCCUUUUGUUCCAACGGUUUUUCCCAAUGAUUAUAAAAUAUGCAUAGAUAUAACCUUCCUGAAGUACCAACUAUGUAAUAUUUCCUUUUAGAAAAGAUAAAAUUGAAAUGAUAAACUUGAUAAUUGGAGCAGGAUAUUCGGUAGACAUUUUGUACACAGUAUGUAAAAAAACAAAAAUAAACAUCAUCGUAAAACCAAUAUAUUACUCCGCUUCACUCAGAAUCUAAAAGCACUAGGUAUUGACGAUUUCAAUCAACGUGUCAAACGAAAUACUUAAGUCGUGAAAAUUUCACAUUAUUCGAGGUGAUUUGUGGAAGCCGUGUUUACCUAACGCAAAAAUUAUUUUCCCAGCAAGAAAAUGACACUGAUAUAUCUUAGUAAAACUAAUAUUGAUUUUUUUUUUUUCCAUCAAAAUCCAAUAAUAGUACAAUUAAAACAAAUAAUAAUUAUGAAUGUGCGAAAAAUAUCGUUCAAAAAUAUAAUAUAUAAUAUUUAAUGAUAUAAUAAUAUAUUAAAUAUAAUUUCAUAGUAUUUGGUCUACGCAAAUGUAUUUGCUAUCCGUAAAAAUAAUUGAAAACUUUCGGUUAAAAAUAGUUUUCAAAUUUUUUUUAUUAUAAUAUUACACACUAGGUACAAACUAAAUUUUAAAUUUCUAGCGGAACGACGCAGACCUAUUGCGUAGUUUUGUAAUUUUGUAUUUUUAUCCACAUAAAACACUUUCUAGGUGCGGUAAACAUUCUCGAAAAGUUUCGCGUGACAACUUUUUAAAUAAUUUAUCCAACCCAGAUGGUACUUUAAAGAGGUCAUAUGCCAAAUAACUCUGUGUCCAAAAUAACGCUAAAAACGGCAAAAAAUGCAAAACGAAAUACCUAAUAUUAUUAUUCUUAUUAUUAUAAGCGAUAUUUUAUGGUGGCAGUUUCUACUAACAUGUUUGAUUGUAAUAUUGACAAUUAAAGAAAAAACGGAUCGAUAUCCCGGUUAUGAUUUUCAUUCUCAGAAAGAAACGAUCGAAUUUGAAAAAAUUUUCUAUAGCCGUACCGAAGAUUGUAUUGGUUUUAUUAUAAUGUUGCUUGAUUUGUUGUAUUUAUGUGUGAAAACGACUUUUCUUUCACAGAUAUUGUCUGAUCAUCAAUUUUGGGAAAGAUUUCUGAUAAAAAAAUGUUGUCUAAUAGUUGCGAUUUUUCGGGCCAUUUCCUUUAACGGCCAGAAAAAACAAAGCACAAACGUCGGGAAAAAGAGCAAAUAUACGCUGCAAUAACUGAUUAUGGUAUUUUUUUUUUUUUAAUUCGAUUAGAAAUAGUAGUUGAGAUAUGAAAUUUUCAUCGCAUACUCAUAUUAGCACGUUCUAGUCGAAAUAAAAAGUGAAUAAUAUACUGGCGAUUUUUAAAUAAUUUACAGCUAUUUAAUAUAUUGUUGUGUUUUUAUGCGGUUAAAAUAGCUUUGGCCCAGAAAAAAUGCUCGAAAGUUUCGUCAAUUCAUCAUGACUUUUAUACUUAGCGGUAAAAUAGGUUAAAGUUGAGUUCUCUAAAAUGAUUUUUUAUAACCGUUCAAAUCGCAAAUAUUUAUGAAAAUUAAAAUUUGCAUGUCAAAACAUAUGUUUUAUCCGAACUUUAUUCUGAGCAGUUAAACAGUUAACGAUGAUUUAUCGUUGUGUGUUUGUUGGAUUUUCGCCGUAUUAAUUGAAUUGCUCUAAAGUUUGUGCUUUCCUUAAUUCUCACGUGUAAACAUUAUUUUUUUUAUAUUUUGUACAUUUAAUAAAGAACGUCGCGUUUUUAUAGUUUUUUUUUAUACUACGUUUAACAUAAGUAAAUAAUCAGUGAUUAUUUAAAAAGUCUUUCAAAAAAAAAAUAAAUAAAUAAAUAAAUACGUUAGUGUGCUGUCAAUUAUAUCAGUUUCGACAUUUUUCUCAUAACAUAUUGAUAAUAUCAAAAACAAGAUAAAUAAAUAAACCCUUCGAGAUCAAUUUAUCGACAAGUGGCUGCAUAAACUUAUUUUUGACCAUUUUUAUAAUACUACAAGAAAAUGUUAUGUUUACCGUGAAAUAAAAUAUAUAUAUACCUAUCUGCCUCCUACACUUAUCGAUAUCGUCAAUUAUUUCGGGCUAUACUGUUCUAAACGUUGAAUUUUCGGCACGCGUAUAUUAUUAUAUAUCAUGUCGUUGUGUCGUUUGCAUAUCCUUUCCACGGUGUAUUGAAAAUCGGGUGUAGCCUCAUAAAGCGACACUUAUACAGUGGCUUUUUUCGCGGGGGACGUUAAGGGUUGUGUCCUCCCAUCCCGAUUGGCAUAUAAACGCAACGAAACUACAAGCAUUUAUUUAGUAAUUGUUUUGAAAUUAUAUGAUUCAGUCAAAUUAUGGGGAAAAAUGUUCGAUUAAUCGAAUAUAGAUUGGAUUGCGUGAAUUUGACUUUUGAAAUCUCAUUGCCGGGAUAGAUAUAACAGACGAAGAUUUUGCGAUUUAUUUACGAAUCGUGAUCCGUACAUUCAAUGAAUCGCAUCUCAUUGACAAUUCCCGGACACCCCACUGCAUUUGUAAGUAGUAAUAAAUACAUUUUUUUAUUUUCGAUAAAAUUUCAUGAUAAUACAUUUAUAAUAAUCAUAGGGUUUAUAUUAGAAUUUAAAAUAAUAAAAUGUCAUGUGCCACCGAAAGUCGCCGAUUCGGUUUUUAUUCGUGUAAAUUCGGAAGCCACGGGGCGCGAUUAAACAUUUUCAUAGAAAAGUUAUUCAAAUUUGGAAAUAAAAAUUCUUCCAUAUUGCCAAUAAUUUUGGCGACUUAUCAUAAUAUAUUUUUACCCAUAUUAUUAUUUUAUCCGUUAAUGUAUAAUCGUUGUACGAUAACUAUUAUACGUAUAAUUUAUAUCAAUGGCGUAGUCGGAAUUUUUCAAUGAGAGGGUUUAGUUGGUUAAGGGGGGAGGGUAUAGGGGUCUACAGAUUUCUUAACGUUACUUAUGGCUAAAGUAAAUCAAUGGGGGGUGGUACAACACGCAAAACCCUCCUUGGCUACGCUUCUAAUAACGAUAACCAUUUGAAAAAACGCCUAAAGAAAAACCCUUUAUUAAGAUUUAUGUUUGGUAUUUUAUCGAAUUUAUGUAUAGACACGGGUAAAAAAAAAAAAAUAAAAAUAGAAAUAAAAAAAAAUCAUAUAAAUAUUAUUAAUAUAGAUUUUUGUGAUAUAAUAUUCUAGACUACGCAUUUAUUCAUUUAUUUGUUUUUUAUUUGUGUAUACAAAUGUUUUUAUUUAUAUAUAUGUAUUUACUAUAAAUAUUAUCACUCGAGUAGACUAGCCACGAAAUUGUUUUUGUUUUUCGUUGAGACAUUUAUAUCACAGAUUUUAUUUAUAAAUAUGAAGUGUAACGCCCGUAGGUGUGUGCACCGUAUUUUAAACUUCUACUAACUAUAAUAUUAUUUUUGCUUUGUUCUUUAUCAUUGUAUUUAAUUGUCAAUGUUGCCGUUACGCAUAAUGCGUUCGUACCUGUUUAUUAUUUCACAAGUGUGAAUUCUCAGAAUAUGGGUUGACCUAAAAUAAAUAAAAAAAUAAAACGUAACACCGAGUCAAAAAUUAUAUUAAAAUUUCCCUACUCUUUACAUUUGUACACAUUAUAAAAUUAUAUAAUCAUUCCUUCGUAAAAGAGCUACUUUUUUGUUGCCUAUACCCGUGUUUAUCCAUUAGUUUUACGUUUUAUUAUUUUUUUUUUUAAUUUAACGAAACGAAAUAACUGGGCUAAUGCAUCGGGUACGAGAUCACGAUAUAAUUUCCCAAAAUAUAAUAAAUAAAUGUUUCAACUGCAAUAUUCGGAUAAACCAGUGAAUAAUUAUUGUUUUUAUAUAAAAUAAAUAAUUAAUAUAUUUUUAACACCGAUGUUGUUUUAUUUUUUCAUUUUUUUGAACUAUAUACUUUCUGUAUUAUGGAGAAAACUUGUUUUUUUAUUUAUAGAGUGGGUCACACUUUGCAUAUUUAAAAUAUAAUGGUUAUGAUUGUUAUUUCGGUUUUUUACAUACAUUUUUAGUUUAAUUCUAAAGGUUGUCAACCUUAGAAAUUAGAGACAGUGUCAUUUAACUGGCAGUAAUGGCAUAAUUAUACACUGUUUACCUAAGUACUCCGAGACGUAGUGAUACGUAAUAUUCUUAAUGUUUUGUAUGGAGUUAUUGCGUUUAGACACGAUUAAAAUAAUGGCAGUGAUUUUGACUUUAAGUGUAUAGUAUUAAAAUUGUUCGGCAUUUAUAACCAUAGUACAAUACCGUCUCACGAACUUUUCUUUAGGUAUACUCUAUCUAUCGCCAAAUUCUUUUAAUUUGGUCCAUCUCCUAAUGCAUCCACGUUCUUGUUUAAUACAUAUUCCUGCCUCCUACUUUUAGGUCUUCCCCGUAGUUUUUCCCCCGUUGUGUUUUGCUCUGGCAAUGUUCGAAAGUAGUGGAUUAGUCUAAACGUAUAACCUAGCACAUCACGAUAGUCAUAUCUAUCUUCUUAAAUGCAAAUAUUAUGCAAAUAAAAUGUAUCUAUUUUUAUUUAUAAAUAUGUCAGUUGUAUAUGAAUAUAAGCGAUGAAUAAAAUAUGAAAAAAAAAAAAAAAAAAUGAAAAACGUAUAGAGAAAUAGUGUGAUCAGAUAUUGUUUUACGAGGACAAUUUUUUUUUUUAAAUACAAAGAUCGAAGUUCAUUGAUUGUCGAGGAAAAUAUUUAGUUUUUUAUGCGUUGUUCAUACUGCAAGAACGUAGUCAUAUUGCCUAUACAAUGCGCCGUUGUAACGUAAAAAAAAAAAGAAAAAGUUAAUAUUGUUAUUAUGCAGUCCUGAUAAGACUUGUGUCACCCCUUGUAGAUAGAAAUUUGGAAAGAUAUUUAUACAGUCUAGUUAGGUUUCGUAUCCAAAGCUACGGUUAUGAAUCGAUUACGAAAAACGGUUUUGUUACAUUUGAUAACAUUUUCGUAAGAAUUGGAACUUUAAACGAUUAUAGGUGGUAAACAAUUGUCAUUAAUUUGCGCUUGAUUUUUUUUUUUACUAUGAUGAAAAUUGUGUUAACAUUUUCGGUAAGGUUAAUACAAUUAUAUUCAAAUAAUACCAUGUUAAAACUAAAAAAUCUAAAACUUGAAAUAGCCAUACAUACUCAUAUGUAUAUAUGUGGCUUUAAAUCCGUCAGUAUGCUUUAAUGAUCAUACCAUUCCUAGAAAGGGCUAAAAUAGUUUUGUUCAAAUUCGCACUGAUAUGUGUGUGUUUAAGUGUUUAGUGAGAGGAAUAGAAAUUAUUGGGAAAACAUUACUCGGUUGAUGUUUAUAAUAUUUCUAAAGCUGAAAAACAAAAUGAAUUAAUUCGACAGGAACACAAAAAAAAAAAAUGAGUAGAUAAUUUGAUUGGAAAAUUAAUUUUUUUGGGACCCUAUGUUCCGAUGUGUUCAAUAAGACAGUAAUAAUCACUCGAAAAUAUAUUCGAAGAAGGCGGGAGGACGUUUGCAAAUGAAUUUCGGUAAACGUAUAAAUUAAAAGUUUAAUCACGAUAUAAUAUUAGAUUCAUCGAGCUCGUUGAAAUUUUGAAAUUUUAAACAUUUAAUAAUGAUUAUUCAUCAAACUUCAGUUUUCUUAACAUUAAUCUCCGCGCAGUAAUUAUUCAAAAUGUGUAAUUGACAAUAAUUAAUCUUAUUAGUCAGUAAAAUAUCCGUUUAUUGCUUUUCAACUGAUAUUUUUGGUACUGAACGAAUUUUUUUUUUUCCUUUUGAAAUAAUUUAUACCGCUUUAAAUUUGGCCGUAUUCCAAUAAGCGAUCUACAUAAUAAAUAUACAAUGAGUUGUUGUUAUUUUUUUUUCUAUCUAUAUAAAUAUACGUAUAUACAUGAAUACAAUGUUAAAAUACAGUUAUUUUUUUAUGUUAAACUUAGUUACGGUACAAAAAUUAAAUUUAUAUAAUUUUAAGUAGGAAAUAAAAUAUACUUGAACAUUUUGUUCGUAUUAUAUUUAAUGUAAAUAUGAUUAUAAUACGACACUGGUACUGUGCAAAAAUAAAAAUAAAAAAAUGUUUUUCCCGUUUCAGAUUUUGUGUAAUCGCGCGAAUUCCGUCACCAACGCCGUACGCGCGUUCGAAAAAUGUAAAAAUACAAAAGAACGAAAACGAAAAAAAAAAAAAAAAAAAAUGGAAAUUUAUUGUAUACAUGCGUAUUUUGUAUGCAAAAAUUAAUAUUCGCACAUUUUUCAUACAAAAAUAUAAAUAUUACGGUAAAAUACUAAAAUAUGAUAAUAUAAUAAAAUUAAUUGAGUUUUAUAAAGUGUGUCCAAUAUCUUGAAUCUUAAAAAAAAUCUUGUUUUGGUGUUGUUCCGAUGUAAUAAUUGUUUUAAUGGCAACCUUAUUAAUGACAAUAUCUUUUCACUUAACUACUGUCCGAUAACUCGCACUCAAAGGGUAAGACGUACGACUGUUUUUACGGACAAAUACAACGUUUCGGACCGAAAUCCCAGAGAUAAAUGUAAAGGUUAUUGCGGAUUUCAACAUUUCGAAAACGUACUAUGAUUUUGUGCAGGUUUUUUGCAUGGAUAGAUUAGGAAAAUUAGUUCUUUUUUUUUUUAAAACAAUUUUGCCGUAAUAGUUAAUGACAAAAGACUUAAAGUAAGUUUUCCGUAAUUGACCAUAAAACACGAGGACAUUUCUUGCUCGGUCAUAAUCCGUUUCACAACAAUUAAAAUCCAUCAAACGCAAUUCGCUAACAGUUCCGUCUGGUUUUUAAGCCUAAAUAUUUGAAUAUAUCAUCACCGGUGGCGUUUCUUUUUUUUUUUUUUUUUAAAUAUACUUACAGAGUAUAUUUGUAUGAUUUGUGAAUUUCCUAUAUAUUACCAUUGCGUAGCUAAUUGAGAUAUCCUGCACACACACACACUAUAUCUAGUAUAUUAUAAACUAACGCACUACGAAUUUACACAUUUGUCAUGUUACGAAAAACCUAAAUCAUAGUUUUUUAGUUUUACGCGCUUUUUUAGUACACUGAUACUAAAAAAAAUUAAUAAAAUCGUCAAAACUUACUAAAACUAAAUUGGAUUUUAAUACACACUUAUUCACACGAUCGAGUGAUUAUAAUUUCUAUUAGUAUAUCGAUUUUCAAUUCGGUAAUACUUUUCGUAAAAACGUAUUAUACAACUUGAGAAGUCGAAUAUGAUCGUAGAAAAACAACAAAACAAAAAGUUAAAAUUAAAAACUUAUUUUAUCCUUAUGCGGUUCUGUUUGUUUUGUCUUGUUUAUCUACAAUUCGAGAUAAUUAACGAUUUCAUUGAAAUAUUAUUAUCUUAUGCUAUUGGUAAUUUUUUUUUUUAAUUAAAAAUAUACUCGAUUUUUCUUCUACUCAAAAUGAAUUUCUUUAAACCAUUCUGAGACCGCGAAUUUUACGAUGUUAAACAUUUUUAUAUUCUUUUUGUACAUAAUAAUAUGAUUUAUUCAUUUAUAUAUAUGUAAACAAGAUACAUUUGUCUGCAUCUAUCAAAUUGUCAUUUUCACGAUUCAGCGAUUUUCACGGGUGACUCUAAGUGAAUUUUAUUUCUAUCUAAAUAUCGUUUAAAUAAAAUGAAAAUAAAAUGUAUUACUCUUGUAAUGUCUAUGUUUUAAACCGUUAUGUGCCGUAUGUACCGUUUACUCGAUAUUAAUAAUAGUAUGCUACGUAUGCCGACAUUUUACAGUCGGACAAACAUUCCCUAUUUGGACCGGUGUAGUGUAAGUAAUAUGGGAGAUUCUAUUUUAAAAAUCAUAUCAUUUAUCAAAUUUUUAAAUUAUAAUUUUAAGGUAGAGGCGAAUAUUUCAAUUUGGUUUUUAAAUAAAGCUUAUACAAUUCCGCAACAAUUAGAAAAAAAAAAAAACAAAGAGAAAUCAGAGUCACUUAAUAUCCUUUGAGAAAAACGGUAGUUCACGUUAAAUAAUUGAUCAACCUAAUCAUAUAUCUGUGGUUUACUGCGAGAUUGGCCAAUAUAAAAAAAUAUUACAUGUUUAUAAUAAUUAUUAUGAAUUUCGCGUUAGAUUUUUGGAAUAAUGGAAAUAAAUUUACUUUUUUAAACUUGCAAUUCUAAUUUUAUUUAUUUUUUCCUUUUGACAUUCCUCUUGUUUGGUACUUUUUACACCAAGCUGCAAAUAUGCCUAUUUAUAUUACAUAUUAUAAGUGAUCAAAUUGACAUAUAUAAGUACUUAACAUAAACUUCUUAAUUAUAUAAUUUUAUGAAAACGUACGAUAUUAUAUUUUAAAGAUAAUAUUGAAACAAAAAUAAUUAGUUUUUCGUGAAUUUAUGAAUAACCUAUUAAAUAAAUGCUACGAAAAAACAAUGAAAAAAAAUAAAGGACGAUAGGUUAAAGUGGUUUAUGCAAGUGCCAAAAAAAUAAAUUGUCGACAAUAAAUCAUGAUUGGCCAGAAUAAAAUAAUAUAGAGAAAAAAGUGAAUAGUUUAUAGUUAACUUUGGUUGUAUUUUAAUUUAAAACGCGCAUAGGAAAACCUUGUAUUUUUUUAAUUUAAUAUCUUUUUUUUUUUUUGUUUGAGAAACGAUAAAAAAAACCUAAAAUAAAACCGUGUUCGUUAAUAAAUCAUAUAAAAAAAAAUUACAUUCAACGAAAUACAACUCUGUUGUAUUAUCGUUCGAGAAUUUUUUUUUUUUUUGUUUAAAUAUUUCGUAAUAAAGCUUAUAAAUUAGCAGUAAUUUGUAUUCUUCAGGAUUUUUAUUUUCGAAGCAUAGUACUGAAAAAUUUGUUUGGAUAAAAAAAAAAUUAACCACCACCGUGCCGAAAAAUAUGUAUGUAAUUUGUUGAACAGUCUAAAAAUUGCAGAUUUAUAACAAUAACUACCAUAUGCGCUCGAAUUAAAUACCGUCCUUUAUUUCAUCGUUUCGCGACUUCCGAAUAUAUAAAGAAAAGCGCGAAUACUUUUUAAUUCGGAAACGAUGAGUAUUUUCAUUAAACUAAUGAAAUUCCCUCGAGAUAAGCGGCGUGGAGCGCAUUGAAAGACGGAAUAUACAAAUCUAGAAAUUACCAAUUCGAAAUCUUUACGGUUAUCGAAAUCUGAACCGUUAAGAAACGUUCAAAUCUAGAUCCUGGUUUGCAUCUAGCCACACAAAUAAUUGAUACUGAAAAAAAUUUCAAGUCGGAGAUCUACAUCAUUAAUUUCCCCCUAUAAAUACUCUACUGUUGUCAUUAAUUUGGUGUUUGAUGUCCUUUAUUAUGUUUGAUGUCUGCGGAAUAUAUUAAAUAUGUGAAUUGUAGCACAUGUUCAGUUUAUCAUAAAAUCAGUUAUUCUGAAUAGUAUAUUACUAUCUACUUUUUUAGAUUUAGAGCGUAGCGACGGAUCGAUUGAUUGUAUUAUAUGUAUUUUUUUUUUUUUUUUAUUUGUAUCUAAAAUGUACCAGAAAUCUUGCUUCGAUGUUUAGAGUGUAGCACCUUUUCCGGGAGAAAAUUUUAAUUUUAAACUCUAAUUAGUGUUAUUAUUUUUUGAUAUUCCGAUGGAUUUUCAUAAUAGUCGAAAAAAACCAAAAAAAAAAAUACGAUUUUUUUCAAAUUACUCCCCAAAUAUUUCACUAUUUAAUAUUUUUAAGAUUAUAAUUUUGAAUCGAAAAUCGUUGUCCAAAUUUCAAAAAUAGUAUUUUUUUGAAGACAAUUUUUUCUUGUUUGUAUGUAAGAAGGACGUUGAUUGAUUUCGAUCAAAUUUUGACAAAAAUUGUAGAAAUUACUGCGUUUUAAAAUAUGCCUUUACGAACUUCGCUCCAAAUCGGUUUUAGUUAGCUAUGGUUUACCUUUGCACACAGAUAUAAAUCAAAUAACUGUCUGAAGCCUUCUUUUGCAACUUUUCACCUUUAACGGUGGCUACAUCUGUUUCCAGCAUCAGCACUUUUUUUCCUUUUAAAAACGAAAAAAAACAAAACGAAACUUUAGUACAUAAUGCACGAACACGGUAUGAAUGAUAUUAAAGAAAAAACAAAUAGUAACAAUAAUAAUUGUUCGUGUAUUAAAAUACAGAUUUUUAAAAGUCAAAAGUUUUUCCGAUCUUAAUUAUGUAUUCGACUUUAUCCGUUCUCUUUUUGUUUUUGUUGUUAAUAUGUUUUUAACGUAGUACUGUUAAUAAUUUUUGUUCGCGGGAUUUAAAAGCUCAUCAUAUGUACGUACUUAUACAUUUGUAUUGUUACUGUCGUUCCGUUCCGUUUGUCGAUAUAAUAUUUGUGGGCGAUAUGUAAGCGGCUGUGACCACUUGACCCGAUCACCUACAUCGUCCUGGCCAAAGCAAUAAAGUAGGAAAAAUAUUUUGAGAGCAAAACCGCUCGUCGGAAACCAACCGGCCCGCGGUUUCUCCCGGGUAACGCUAUUGGGUCAAUCAGAAGUGGCAAUAAUUAUCGCACAACCGCAAUACGUACGUAUUGUGGCAAACCCACCGGCCACAUGUCGUGCACGGUUAGGGGUUACGAUUCACCGGGGUUAGUGUAAGUGGUAUUUUCGCUCGUAUAUAACCGGUUGACGUAUAAAACCAUCGCAAAUAUUGCAUUAAAAACGACGAGAAUCGGUUUUACUAGUCGCCUAAUGCCCGGCCGUCGAAAACGAUUAUUAAAUUUGUGAUUAAUUAUUAUUAUAAGAGUGUCGGAAGAGAAACGAAUAUUAUUCAUCAGCGACGACGACACGAAAUAAUAUUAUCAGUGGCGGCGCCGCCGAAAAACUCGAAUUUUCCGCCAAAUUAAUAACACUUGUGUAAGUAUAUUAUACUUAUAUUUGUAAACGAGCAUGUAUUAUAUAACUAUAGAUCAUUAAUGAUUUUUGAUUUUUCGUCGGUCCCAUAAUAUAAUCGAAUAAUAAUUUCAAACCUAAUCCGACCUUUCCGACCGUUACCCGCCCGCACACAUAGCCAUUUAUCACGGUUAGGUUAGUUUUGACGUAAUGAUUUAUUAUCUCGUUUGUGCUGCGAUAAAGAUGAACUAUAGUCACUGCUAAAUUAUUUCGCGAGUAAUUAUUAUAUUGGUAAGGUGCAGAGUUUCUCAACCCCCUCUACCACAAACCCACCGGCCAAGCUCUCGAUAAUAAAGUCUAGAGAUGUACGAAAGUAAAAUAUUCAAUUUGUUCAAAACGAUUGUAUUUGUUCAUUUCAAUUAUCAGGUAAUUUCGUUGAUUUUUAUGAGGUCAAAUGGGUACGCAAAUGACUAAAAGGUUAAAAAAAACAUUGUUUAACUGUAAUGUGAUGCGCUUUGUAUUCUCGUAUGUGUUUUUGUCUGCUCAAGUUUAAACUAGACCAAGAGAAGACCAGAGGAAAAACGUAUAUUCUGAAUUUUAUUCCAUGCCUUACUAGUCACGAACUCUGCGCAACCCACACAACUCCUUACCCCAUACUAUUGUGGAAACAACCUCGUCCUAAACUCUCACACGCAAAAUCACUACGCUACAUUGUAAGUACCUUCGUACCUUAACAUUUAAUGUAAAACCCAAACAAUUAACUGUAUUUGUGUUUAUUCUUAAAUAAAAGACUGAUAAAUUAAUUUCAUUUACAUCGUGUUAAAUUGUAUGCAUCGCUCAAAAAACGUGAUCCGUUCCAUAAACGUAAUAUUCGAUAAUCAUAGUUUAUCUAUUGAACAAUUACCACAUUUUCAUAUCUUUUAAUAAUAUUGUUAUCAAGGGGAUGACCUAAUUAAAGAUAAUUGAAGUCUUAAAUAUACCGACGUACGUAAAUAUUUUAUUUGUAAUAUGUGUAAGAUGAUUUUUUUGCCAUAACACUAUUCGUGAAAAUAAUCAAAAUAUUCGGUUAGUAUAUUCGCAUUAUUAAAGAAUUUUAGAUUCUGAAUGAAGCGAAUACAUUUUUAGUUUAACAAUGACGUUUAUUUUUUUAUUUUAUCGGUGAACAACUUUUUUACCAACAAUGUUUACAUGCACACGUGUAUAACUUCCGUGGUCCAAAUGACGUCCCUAGUUUUACUUGCCUUACAUAAUGUAGGAUGCUACUUUUUCAUUAAAAAUAUUUUCUUUAAAAUAAUUGUAUCGUAUACGUCACGCAUAUGCUUGACAUGUAUAACAGAUAUUUUCGGUUUCCACCCCCCCCCCUCCCCUGAAAUUUUAAAAGUAGGUAUAUAUUUACAAUAUGACAAAGACUAACUACAAGUCCACGUAUUAAAAAUAUUUUAACCCCUUCCCCCUGAAAAAUGUCCCUGAAUACGUGAUCGGACACUAAUGUACUAUACCUCAAUAAAUUAACCACGAUAACAAGUGCUGGAUGGGAUAUAACGAAAAACGUCGGCCUAUCAGUUACUGUACAUUUAUAUGCAAGUUCCUUCCUUGGACGCAUAUGACAUAAUUAUAAUUAAUAAUUGGCAAUAAUUAUAAAACGUACUUAUACGUGUGUAUACUUUAACACAUACAAAUAAUUAACACGAAACGAGCAUUCCGAAAUAUAACAAUAGUUUGUUUGAACAUUGACUGGGCCGUCCAGCCGGAAUUCCCGGAGAAGAAGGAAUUUCACAAAUACAUUUCGCUUCUCUAUUUUCAAUAAUUUUUAUAAAAUAACCGCGUCGGUGGCCCGUGACAGCAGCGCGCUGCUCCUGUUACGGCCGACCACCGCGUAAUCCUGAAUGGACGUACCUAUAUUAUAAUAUAACAAUAACAAUAUUAAUGUUGCCGGCGUUGACGUUCGCACAAAACAAUAUAAUAUGUUAAAACAUUUUGAGAAUGUUGUAGGUAUUAUUAUUAUUAUUAUUAUUAUUAUUAUUAUUAUUAUUGGCAGUCAGGAUUUAUUGCAAUUGUAAUUAAUAUUUUGUCGUUGUUGGAUUCUGAGUGCAGUGAAUUGCAAUUCUAUAUUCAUAGACGAAAAUAGUAUUUUAUUGUGUAAUAAAAAUAAUAAUAUAAAUGAUCGGUUUCGAUAAUUUGGUUACAACUCGAUUACUGUGCCGAUUCAAAGAAGAAAAUUUUUAAUUUAUUUCAUAUGUUUUAAUUACGAAUAUCGUUAUGUGUUAUGACAUUACACGCACUGCGUAGGCAUUGAAAAAUAUAUUAUUAUACUUUAUAUAUAAGUAUGAGUGAUAGGCACUGCACGAAUCCGAUAAUAUCGGAAACAAAUUACUGAAUAAAAAAUGUGGGCGAAAACAGUUACCCGAACAAAAAAGAUGUGACGUAAAAGAAUACAAAACAAACCUACUCAAUGAUGACAGGUUAAUUGAGUUGACAGCAAAGUUUAUCGAUGGAGUAUAUUUCUCGUCGUAUUAAUUUUAUGAGGCCAAACGAGGGAACAAAAUGUAGAAAUAAUAUGAAUGAAUAAACUGUAUAAUAGACUUAAUUUACAUAAAAAUCGUGUUUUUUAUUUUUUAAGUUAUUUACCAAACAAAACAGUAUUUCCAAGGCUGGGAACAAGUCAAUGAGUAUAACAAUAUUAACUCAGUUGAGGCAAUCGAGAAAGUGUUAGCGAUAGUUAACGCGUUAAAAGUCAACUGUUUAAUUAUAGCAUAGGCAAAAUUAUACAUUUUUGGUAUGAAAUAAAAAAAUCGGAACUAAUUUACUAUUUGAAUAUGAGUCUUCCACUAAAAACAAACACACAUCUUAGUAAAAUCAAUACAAUUUAUAUGCUACACUCAGAAUCUAUAAGCAAUAAUGGCUUACAAAUAAUUUAUUAUAGAAUAAUACUUGAUUAAUUUAUUACUGACAAUUUUCACAAUCGUUCUGAUAUUUUCAUGAAAAUACUAUUACUAAAUAGGCAAUCCAAAAAAGACAUACAUACAUCGCACGAUCGAUUGGCUACUGAUGUAGGUGAGAAUUUGGGAAGGAAGGAUGUAGAGGGAAAUUGAGUGUAUAUCUGUAUAUACGCAAGAUAAAUAAUUCCCAAUGAAAAACGAUUCUGACUUACACGGGUUUUGAAAGGCCGUAAUAUUUACGAUUUUCGUCAAGACUUGAUUUAAAAAUUCGUAUAAAAAGAAAAAAAUAACACACUAAAUCGAAAUUUAUUUUUUUGACCACUAAGCAAAACUUAUAAAACACUUUUUAAUUUCACAAGAAUUUCUAUUUGAUCGAACAGUUUUAUCCACAGAGUUCAUACUACAAAGCGAAUAAAGAUUACUUAAAAAACUCUAAAAAAUGUCUAUAAAUAGCUCAAUAAUACUUCAAACCUUUUGAAAAUGUUACUACAAGUUAUUUAAAUCAUUUAAAGUACCAACUAGAUAAAAUUUCCUUUCAGAAAAAUUGUUACAUUUAAAAAUCAGAUCUCUGGUAGGAAUGUCGUGGAAAAGAAAAAAUAUAUAUCAUUGUAAAACCAAUACAUUCCUCGCUUUGCUUAGAAUCUAAAACGAAUUUCCGAUUAUCCGGCAAAAGAGUUAAAUAUUCAAAAUAAUAAUAUUACGGUAUUUGACCUUUACUACGGUGCUUUUUGUACAAAGGUACUUAUGAACGUUGACCCGCAAAAUUGGUCACAUCCUCGGUGUCCUUACGUAGAUAAAAUAUAUAUAGAUUUUAUUUAAAGCAAAAUCGACGCGUGAAAAAAAAAGGUUUUAUGACAAACACGAAGAAAUAUAUAGAGUAUAAUAUUAUUGUGAAUUAUUGCUUUUCAACGAUUUAUUACGCAUGAAGAACUACACGCGUCGCUGAUUAAUUUUUAAUCAUCGGAAUAAUAUUCUUUUUCAACUUUUAAAAAUCGUUAUCAGCCAACAGAUCGAUAGAGUAAACUAAAAUAGUAGAGUUAAGAUAUUCAUCACAUGGUAUUUUUUGUUUUGCCUUACAAUUGCCGGAUUUGUGUAUUAUUAAUUAUCAACAGUUGUGUGGUUAUAGUGUUUGCAACAUAAUUUUGUAUCAAAAAAAAAAAAAAAACAAACAAACAAAAAUCAAGAGUAAAAAAUUACGGUUUCGGUUCCCAAUAUAAAUCAGUGCUGUCAUUGGAUCCGCUUCCUGUAACAUUGUAGUGGUCGGUGCGAUACAAAAUAAAAUUGUGAGGUCGGCCGUGGCAAAUGAACCAAAAGAUUUCAGACACUAUAUAGUCAAUUGGAGGAGGGCUGGAUGCAUUGGUAAAAAUAAAACCGUGGCGAAUUCGAGGGAGGAAUAACUAUAAUAGUAUACGUGCAAUAUUUAAAAAAAAAAUCAUAAUAAAAAAGAACCAAGACUUUAAGAUUUAACGGUCUGUGAAAAAUUCGAAGUCUCUGCAACAAACGUCUGAACGAAAAAAAAAACCCGAGUCAGAAAGAUCGAGUAGACUAGAGAAAAGUUUAUUAUGAGAUACACGUUACUUAACAUUAUUUUUGCGUCCGGCUUAACACAGACCAAAAACGAGACUCUGUAUUUUUAUAAGCUUUUUUUUUUAACUAAGUACAACACAGAAGUUAUUUUAAAAAAAAAAUUAAAUAUAAUUAAAAUAUUAUGAUUGUGACAGAUUAUUGUAUAUAGAAAUUCGCUCGAUCAUUUGCUUGCGAAAAUUACUUUGAAACUAGAUAAUUUUAUUGUUCAUAUACGUUUUUCAUUCACUUUUUUGGACAACUUUAAAACAUUUUAAAGUCAAACACAAUAUUUUUUAUCCCUUAUUUAUUUCUGUGAAGACAAACAUCAAUCAAUGAUAACACCGUCGAGCAUUUUGUAAAAUAUAAAAUUAUCCAAUCAGGAUUGCAAUAAUAAUAACAGUAUACGUUGUUUUGUUUAGAUGGCCAAAAAAAAGUGGAUCAAAAUGACUGUGGGCGACAAAUUUUAUUAUUUUCCUGUUGACUUUGUGGUUGCGGGAUAAUGUAUCAUGUUAACUCCUGGAGUAAAACUGAAACUAUGUUCCUCGGUUUCUCAUCUUUAUUGUUUCACGGUAGUUUACAGAAAUAUUUGGAAGAUUUAGGUGUGUUUUUAGAUGAAACGCAAAAUUUAUCGGAGAAAUGUAAAAAAUUAAAAGUUAGCGACGGUUUAGAAAAUAAAUAAUACAUAUAUAUAUAUUUUUUUUUAAGGGACUAUGCUUUUCAUGUGUACAUUUUUGAAAAUAUUUUCCCACGGUUAUAACCGUAAAAUCUACGAGAAAUCAUGCAAACCGAAUUUCGAGUUAACAUUUGAGAAUAAACCGUUUUGAACGGACCGAACAAUUUAGAAAAAAAAGUAUCGCACGCAGAUUUUAUAGCGCUUAAUUUGUUAAAACGUCUAUAAAAAAAAAGAAAAAAUAAUGUAAAACGCAAUUUAUAAAGUUUCAAUCUAUAUGAAUAACGAUAUAUUAUAGUUAUUGAUAUAUUUUUUUAUCGGGUAGAAAAUACGAAUGUUGAUAGGAGUUGAUGAUAAAAGUUAGCGGGCAAUAAUUAAAUUGAGGUCGUGAGUUAAAACUUUUCAUUUUAAGUAAAACAGCGGUGCACAUAAAUAUAAAUUUCGAUUGUUACCAAACUUGGGUUUAAUCGAAAAUAAUAUGAAAUCUUUUUUAUUUAUAACUGUUUUUUUUUUUUUUUUUUUUUUUAGGGGGAUUGAUUAUUUAAAGAAAUGUAUUUUGGCCAAAAUAGAAAAAAAUUCUUUAAAAGAUUCGUAUCCAAAAAAUUAAUAAAAAGAACCAAUACUGAGGAUGGAUAUUCCACUGUUAUUUAGAUGAGAAAUGGAGAAGUUAGAAUGCAUAAAUUUACUCAAUUUAUUUGUGUAUGCAAUGAUUUACUAUUGCUGACGAUAAACAAUUCUGAGCGAAGCUCGGACUCACAAGAUUUGAAAUGAAUUUGAAUUAAUUUUUACGAUUUUCUUACUUAUCUAGUAUAGCAUCUUUUCUGAAGGGAAAUCUUGUUAGUCGUUUAAUAUUAAAUUUUUGUUUGGAAAAAACUGUAAUACCCAAUUCUUUUAUAAAAGUCAUAUUUCAUAAAAUAUUACACAGAUGUAUCACGGGCACACCAAAAGUUGGUAUAUUUUCUGAUUUUCAUAUUCAUAAUGAACGAACACAAUUUCAGUAAAUAAGAUACCUUAUAUACGAGCACUAUGAUAAUGGAACCGGGAUUUUUAAAAUACCUAUUAGCCGUAAUGGAAGUCUGGAGAAGAAUGUCGAAAAUGUAAUUUCAUUUCAAACCCAACCUAAUAUUUUACUAUAGGCUUUAUGACCGAUAUAAAAAAACAACAAUAGAUGGAAAAAGAAAGAGCUAAUAUCGCCGACGGUUGGGCCACAAUUAUAUAGGUGGGUAGUUGAAAAGGUAGAAUACUUUGAAUUAGGUAAUUUAUAAAAUAUAAAAUUUAAAAUAUUUUGUAAGCUAUGAUUUUAAGCGAAAUUCGGUUUAACUACGACUAUGCAACUAUGUUUUUUUUUUUUACGACAAAUUAAAACGUAUGCUCUGAAAUUCGUGUUAAACUGUCAAGCAUUUUCGUUCGUCCAUACAAUUUAUUUAAUUGAAAAAAAAAAAUUAAUUAAUUCCGAAAAAUCGGGAAGAAUUUACUUUUAUAUAAUGAGCAUUUUUGAAUUACAUAUAAUAAUAAUAAUAAAUUUGUAUAGGUGUACUCUUUUUCUUCAUUUUUUUUUUUUUUUUUAUUUUUUUUUUUUUUACAGCCUAAUAUUAUAAAAUAUUUCUUCGACAUCGUUCACGAUGAUGAAUUUGUAAAGCGGCCUACAGACGCUUUAUAUAGGUAUUGUGUUUUGCGAAAAAUGUAUAGAGAUAAAAACAAACAUUUUUUUUUUUUUGAAGCGUACAAUGAAAACCAUGCGGUCCGAACUUCAUGUUGGACGAACAUCUAUGUGACUAUAUAUAUAUAUAUAUAAUAUAUACGGCCCCUAUGAUUAUGCUCCGUGUUUUGACUGGGUUCAUUCACAAUGGAUGAUUAUGUUCGCGGCGCGGUUACCGGUUUUCGUCGAUUUAAUCAUAUAAAUAUUUUACGCGUGAGUGUGCACGAGUUGUAUGAGUACAAUAAAAAUUGGCAACAUGCGUAUUAUAAUAGUAAAAUCGUGUAAUAUCUAUACAUUACAAUAGGUGAAAUAUUAUGAGUGACUCAUAAUGAUGUUAUGAUAAAUUUAAAAAGAAAAAAGCUUUUUUUUUUUUUUCGUCGAAAUUCUGCUAAUAUUGCGAAAUGCCAACAGUGUCAGAAUACAAAUAAAAUUAAUGCAGUAUUUGAUCCGUUCGUCGGUUUUUUGUCAAUAUUAAUUAACUUUAAAAUAAUUUAUCUUUUUAUCUUUAGAAAUAUCAAAAAAACAAAAAAAAAUGUAUGAAAUAUUCGACAUGGUGUAGUUCUAACACUAUACGCGAUAGUAGUUGUUAACUUUGUAAUUUUAUAUUUCCGAAAACCCAUUUGAACGAAAUUAAAAUAUGUAAUUUACGGUACAUAAUCCAUGUGCUGGCUGUCAGUAAAAAUUACGGGUGAAAUGAUAUUAUGAACGCCAGAGUGAAGUCUAUUUAAAUCACAUGCGUUGAACUGUAAUAUGUUUUUCACACUUUGAAACUGAGUGUUAAUAUUUUUAGACGUGCUAUCUCCUCCAUUUAAGGAAUUUCGUAAAGUCAAUUUUCUCGAAGUUUUUUAAAAAAAGGAUACUUAAUUAUUUCAAAUUUUGAAUUCAUUUCCAAAUACGUCUACAUGCAAGUAGUCCUAUAUCAUUAUUACUAAUUUGUUUUUGUGUUAUGAAAUCGAUAAAACUGUAUACAAAAAACCGUUAAACGUGAGCAAAAACUACUGGGGAAAUGGAUUUAGUUAAGAAAAAACAUUUUUGCCAUAGAACAAAAUGAACUUGCACUGUGCAAUGUUACUUGUAGUUUUUCGAUACCUGUACGAUGAAAUAAGUUAUUCAAGUUUGAGAUGUUUAAAUUACCAAAUUUGUGAAAAUCAAAAAUAAAAUCAACGUUGUCCUACGCAAACUCUACAUUCCCUAUUGUGGUAGAAAUCGUAUUUAAAUUUAAGUAGUUUUUCUCCUGCGCCACAUAGUCUUACAGAGGGGAGGGGGUACUACGCAUUUUUAAUAUCAAGGGUACUUAACGAAUAAGAUAAUUUUAAAUUAUGAAUUCUGUAUUAUUUACAAACGCACAAACUUUUUUUUUAAUUCGAAUUUUAACUAUUUCAGUAUUAUUGUGAACCCACCCACGUAGUGUAAAUCAAAUUUUAAGAAAAUAUAUUUUAAGGUUUAUAUUGUUUACCUACUCUUUAAAAUAAUCCUGCGUCUUAAGUACAUAAUAUUUAUAUUUUUUUUAUUUGUCAACGGUUACUGUUACGGUUGUAAUUUUUUACACCGUGUACAUUGGCUAAUAUUAUUAUGAUAAUAAUUCAUACAUCAGAGAUAAAUAUAGAUUAGGUAAAUGAAUAAUGGGACAUUUUUGUCAUGAAAACCGAAUUCAUUAUUCAAACUGUCAGAUGACUAAAAAGCCGAUUUACGAAUCAAACAUUUUUCAAAGUUAUAUCCAAUUAUUUCGUGUAUGCAAAUUUUUAGAUAGGGACAUUGAAUUUUUUAUUAUUUUAAUAAGUAUUGACAUUGGCAUUUGUUACGUCACCGUCAAACUGAAUAUUUUUUUAAUUAUUCUAAACCUUUCAACUAAAUAUUAAAAAAAAAAAAACAAAAAAAAAAAAUCUAGGAAAAUAUCUCUUAAAUAUGUAAAAUAAUAAAAAAAAAAAAGUCGAAAAUGCACGCGUAUAGGCCACUAUAUUAUUGAUAACAGAUCGGUAAUCGGAAAUAUAGUAAUAUAGUUUAUGUACAGAGUGAUUUCGUUUAAAUGGUGCGUGCAACGAUAAAUCGUUGUAAACGAAAAACGAUUCUGAGCGGUGUAUUAGGCAUGUCUUCCUGGCGAAAACCAUUGAUAUUAAAAAAAAAGAGCAAUUUUUCGGAAAAAUUAUUCGAAAUUCCGAAAACAUUUUUCAAAUAAAGUACCAUCAGGUGUUACAACAUUCACACCUUUUAAAGUACGCCGUAAGAAAAAUAGAGAAUUUUCUCUAACCGUAAAAGCGGCGUUCAAGAGAAAAAUUACACAUCUUUGUAAAACUAUUUAAUAGCUUGUUCCGUUAUAGUCAUAAUCAAAAAACGGAAAUAACCAAUCCUAUUGGUACCUAUUUCACAUGCGUGUUUUCAGUGUAUACAUAUGUACAUAGUUUCUACACGAGGAUAGUAAAUGUUUGGACAGCUUCAUAAAACUCCUUUGGCAAAAGUUUUGUAAUUUUGCAACAGUUGUUAAUGAAACAAAUCAAAAACACUUUGGUUAUAUAGUCCUGUUUGAAACAUUAAACCCUUAUAAAAUAUUUGCCAAACACAAUUACAACGAUUUGUAUUUAUUUAUAUAAUAUGCAUAUCGUACUAUUUAUCAUAUCCAGCGAAUACAAAAUAAACACUCAUCGGUUACAUUUUGAUAUUGUUGAACGUUAAGUGUGUCCGCUAACAAAUAUUGAUAAUAUCGUCAGUAAAUUCUCGUAGUAAAAGUCAUUGUGACAUUCUUACGAGAAUAAUGAUAUUUUAAUCAAUAGGAAUGUCGAAUUGUGGUCCCAUUUAUUUGAUUUAUUAUUGUAGGAUGUAUUUAUUUUUUUCGAGAUAAUUAUUUUUGUCAAUUAUUGCAGUCACUUUUGGCUUAUUGGUUUUAUUGUUAAGAAAAAUGAAAAAAAAAAAAAAACAACAAACAAACAAGAACAGAAACAAGAAGCAAAAAAACAAAACCCAUUCAUUUAGAGGUGACGGUAAUUUUUUUUUUACAACAUUUUUAAUAUUGUAUACGAAUACGAAUGUAUACAUUAUAUUUUAAUGAAUAUUAACGGAUGAUGAAGUAAUACAACUAACAAAAUACUACGUAGGUACGCUUAAAAGAAAAAGCUUCUGAAAACCAUUUUAAUUAAUUUUAAAUAAAAAAAAAUGCGGAAUUCGUUUGGCCAAUCAUGCACUGUAUCUAAGUUUGUUUCCCCCUUGAGGACCGUUGGAAAUUAAACGUAAAAGCAUUUACCCUUUGGUAGGUAAUUGCCUUUGCUGAGACGGUAAACGGCGUAAAAAUAUAAUAAUAAUAAUACACCGAACCGUUUUGCCAGGUUAAUAAUUUCCAUUCAUUAUUAUCAUUAUAUGUUCAUCAAAAGUCGGAAAACAUUGAUAAAUCAUUUCGCCAGACAAAGAAACAUUGAUUGGGUGGUGGUUUUUUAUUUCCGUAAUAAAUUCACGCCGCGUAAUUACGCCGCGUUAAUAAUAUUAUGAUUUGCCGAUGCGUUUAUUGUUAAAUCCUCGGCAUGUUUCCACGCGAAUGUCAAAUAUGAAGAAACAACAAACGUAUGUACGGGGGGGAGGGGGGGGGGAGACUGAAAAACUUAGAAAAGAAUAUAAGAGAAACCGCCUUUAUUCCGCACGAUAUUAUAAUAAUAAUAAUCAUAUCUGUAAAGUAUAUUACGGCGCAUAGCGCGAAUCCGAAAAACCGGGGCGUGUGUAAAAGCAAAGUUUGAGCGAACGACAGAAGCCGGGUGAAAACACUGUACAAAGGUAUAAUAUUGCGCUACGGCUAACAAUAAAAUGCGCAUAUAAUAAUCCUCGUAGGAAUGUUUUUGUCGACUUUGUAAUCAGAAUUUCAUACGACGCACCUACAAUAGUAAUAAUAAUAAUAACAUUAUUAUUAUUAUUAUUUUUGUUACACGCUUAUAAUGCAUCCUCGAUUCGUUUGUUGUACGAUUCGAUAAAGGCGAACCGAACGGUCGGAAGGUGUGCGAGUAACCGUUUCGCAGAUCAGACAGUCCGGCCAGUUUCCAUACAAUUUUUUUUUUUUUUUCGAUUCUGAGCUCAGAGAGCGCUAUUCAUUUCUAUUGAAAUUUAUUUUUUUUUUUUAGGGGAGGGGGGUGCGACAGUAAACAAUUUGUUUAAAAACAUGUAUAUCCGUACAUUAUAAUACGUACGUGUAUUAACCAACUUCCCCUUAACAGCGGCCGUUUUGAACAAUUUUUUUCAAAAUUAUUUUCUUUAUUUUCGCAGUUGUUCUAUUAAACAAUUUCACACUAUUACUUUUCUUAUCAGUCUUCCUUACUGUUUUUUUUUUUUCAGUAUUUAUUCUUUGAAUUAUUUUACAUUAUUUUUUUACCUGUUUGUCGUGAAUUUUUUGGCCAAAACUGUUUAACAUGUACAAAUCUGUCGUCCGCAAUAGUCGUGUAAUCGUUGCUUCGUUUCAAACGGCGAACGGUUUAUUUUUUAAAAAUCACGAAAAAAAAACCGCCGUGAGUUCCCCGCUACCAAUAGAAAAACAAACGGAUGAAGAAGAGACGUAGUUUGUAACUCACCAAUGUUAUACCAGACCUGUCUCGACUAAUUUCCAUUGAUAUUCGAAGUUUUACAGUGUACUUUUACAUCCCCGCAAAGUGCUUAGGUUUUGAUUAAGAAACUACUAAAAAUACAAGUUAUAAGUACCCAUAUGUCAAUAUGCUCAUCAAAUAUUAUGUUUUUAACUUUUUCCCCGAAUUCAUACUAUUUUAAUAAAAACCAAGUACACUCUGUUUGGAAGCUUCGGUGAUAGGUUGUUGACCCGACACAGGAAGUCAAAAAGAGCCCCACGCCGAAUCUGAUACCCUCCGAUGCGUGGGGAGUACAUAAUUGAUUUUACUGCAGUAAAGAUUGUGUUUAUUGUGUCUCUUUAAACAACUUUUCUACCAGAACUCUUACUCCAAUCAUUAAAGUGGAUUCUCAAAUGGAAUUUUGUAUAUUUGAUACACAGGCAGAAUUAUCAUAGGUCAAUUAUCGAUUUUUUUUUUUUAUUAACUGAGCAUUUUAUUUAUACUAGAAAAAUAUGUGGGAAGAACGGGAAAGUUUACGAUAUUUACGAUUACUUUAUUUUCGAUUUUGUUGCAAUUCGAUUAAAAAUCUUCGAUAAAACCUGAUAUUUUAACAGAAAAUUUAUUUUAGCCCCUUCUAGACUAGCUAAAGGGUUAAAAUUUUUGUGAUUUUUGAAAAAAUCUAUAAGCUUUUAAUCUUUUAAAAUUUGAUUUUUGUUUUUAUUAGGUUUUAUAUACAUACAAUUGUUUGAAAGAACAGAAACAUUUGAAAAUUUAACAUGUAGUUCAUUAUAACUUAUACGUAUUGAUCAAUUUACCAUAAAUGUACUAGUGUAACGGUAUUUUAAGUUCAGUUUUGAAAUUUCAGAAACUUUCAAACCAUGUUUAGCCAAAUUUCAUGAAGAGUCGUAUUUUAUCAGAAAUGAUUUACUGUUGCGCACAGAUAUAAUUUAAAUAACUUUUCAUUUUUUAUAUCUUUACUUUCUCCAAGUCAAGGUUUUUUUAUUGGAUUUUAGAAAUACUACUUUGUUAAAAGUUUAUAAACAUUUCCCAGCAUUCAUUGGUAUUAAUAUUAAAGUAUUGUCUCAAUGUAAUAUUAUACUUUACGACAAUGCCGAAUUUCAUCAGAAUCUCAUGAAAUUAAACAUAUGAAAACAAAUAUUUAGAUACACACCAAAUUUGUCAUCGCAGGCUUACAUUUCCAACCACUCGCAAUAUCCAGCCGUAAUACAUUAUCAUAGGUAAUAGCAAAACGAGGGUGUUAAUGAUGUAGCGAAACCCCAGUGUGCAAAAUCCUAUGUUAUAAAAGUCACAUAGUUAUCACACUGAUACUUGUGAAGUUAAAAAUAGGUACCUCUUUACUUUUCAGAGAUUUUAUAUGGAUGCCAAACGCCAGGUUGAGCAAUAGUACAAAUGCGGUAUCAAAAUGUGAUUACUAUGGGUAGUCAGUAAAGCCUUUUAUUGUACCUAAGUAUAUUGUCCCAACUACCUAUGAACUACACAAGGGAAUCACCUAUGAUACUGCUAUAGAACAACCCACUUAUGACAUAUUAUACCAAUCACCAACUACUCAUAGACGACUUAUAGAAAUCAUAUGGUAUACUAAAUGAGAACAGCUAUGUGUUGACACAAAAUAAUUUCCAUUAGAUGUUAAAGUUAAACCCUUUACAACUAUUAAUUAUAAUACGUAAAAAAUGUUUUAAACUUAACACAUAUAAAUUAAUGUAAUGGAAGAACAGUGUAAUAAUAAAUAAACGCGGACUGUGAGUGCAGGAACAUACAAACAGCAAGACAUCUAUUGGAUUGUCCAAUACUACCAGUAAGAGAAGAGAUCGAGGAUUUUAUAGAACAACAAUCAAAGGACAAUACAAUUAAAAUUGCUGAUUUCUGGAAGAAGAAAGGAAUUUAAAAAUCUACCACUGACCGACGC